rnacentral:rRNA from 1 species
AGCGAACGAGGGGGGAAGGAGGAACAAAUGCAAGUCGAACGAACUCUUCGGAGUUAGUGGCGGACGGGUGGGUAACACGGGGGAACGUGCCUUUUGGUUCGGAAUAACUCAGGGGAACUUGUGCUAAUACCGAAUGUGCCCUUCGGGGGAAAGGUUUAUCGCCAUUAGAGCGGCCCGCGUCUGAUUAGCUUGUUGGGGGGGUAACGGCUCACCAAGGCGAGGAUCAGUAGCUGGUCUGAGAGGAUGACCAGCCACACUGGGACUGAGACACGGCCCAGACUCCUACGGGAGGCAGCAGUGGGGAAUCUAGCGCAAUGGGCGAAAGGCUGACGCAGCCAUGCCGCGUGAAUGAUGAAGGUCUUAGGAUUGUAAAAUUCUUUCACCGGGGACGAUAAUGACGGUACCCGGAGAAGAAGCCCCGGCUAACUUCGUG